rnacentral:lncRNA from 1 species
AUUCAGAAAAAAAAUCUGUUCUGUUAUUUGAUUGAUAUUUAUUCAAUGAAUAUUUGAAGACUUAUUUAUAUUGGACCUAAUAAAAUAACAUUUUUUAAUUUCAAAAGGAAGCAUAUAGGUCCUUUAGAUACAUUCAGUUUUGUUCUCUUUUGUUUGUUUUCUUUCAUUAAAAAAUCAGACAUUCAUCAUAGGAGUUCCAGAAUGAAAUAUAAUCAAUUCCUUUCCUCUAGGAUUUCUAAUGUUUCUAUGUGUGGUUUACUAUUUAUUAUAUCCCUAGAAAUAGAGCAAUAGAUGCCUUGAAAUCUUUUCCUCCAUUAGAAAAUAACAUUAAAUAUAAAAAUAAAUGUAUACUAAUUUCAUUGUCUUUGGUUUACUUUGUUUGGAGCUACAGAUUGAUUACUGUUGAGUUUAUUUCAUAAAGAUUUAUGUCUAAUCGGGAUGUUUUUAUUUCUUCAAAAUUUAUUGAACACGUCCUGCUUUCUGGUCAUUAUGUUGAGCAUUAUAAUAAACAAAGUGGGGGAUAUUAACAUUAAACUAAUAUUCACACAAAUAAAUAUUCAACUACAAACUGUGAUGAGAAUCAUACAGGAAAUUGUACUUGCUGUACAAUAUAAAUCCUAGAGGUUAACAUCUACAAGGGCUGAAGGAAGAAUAUUUUGAAGAAGGGACAGACAGGCUGAUAUUUAAAAUGGAAGAGCAAAUUAGCAGGUUAAGAAUAGCAGUGGGCUUGCAAUCAGGGUGUAUCCAGGCUGAGGGAGCAUAAGCAUUUGAACAACCUGAGUUGAGAGAUACCUUAUGCCUGGAAAAAAUCUGAAGAAGACCUGACACCUGUGGUUUCCAAAAUUAGCAGUAGAGGAGAGAGAGAAGCUAGGCUCAGUAGACUCAAUGCCACAGGCCUCUCCAGUAAAUAACUGUGAACAUAAUAUUCAGAUAGAUGUCAAGGCAUUGUUAAUGUUAAUAAGAAAAGUAUGUGGCAUAUUUGUGUUUAUCAAUAGAUUUAAUAUUAAGAAAUCAUUCUUCAUCUUCUAUGAGAAACUACACUGUAGGAAAUAAGAAUGUUAGGAAAAUUAAAUGUAGGUUAAUUUAUAUAAAGGAGUUAACAUACCACAGUAACAAAGAGCAUAGUUUUCUUAUUUUUUCAUAAUAAUUUUUUCUACUAUUUGAGGCUUUGACCUUGGUAAGUUCAAUAUAGAGGACAGAAGUUUAUUAUGCAUGUCAAUAUAGGUGGAUGAAUAUGUUUGUUUCUAUUAUUUACUUCAAAUGUCACUGUCUUAACAUGAAUGAUAGUUUUACUAAGAAAAAUCUGCAUGCCAUAUACUGUGCUUGGUUGUAGGUAUCAUUAAUCAAAUAGCUCCAAUGAUUGAUGAAAUUAGGCAAGAAGGGAAGACAGUUUUGAGAACAAAUGAUUGUAUUAUAUGCUAAGGGUGCUAACAAUGUCAGGCAUAGAGGACAGUGGUACAAGAAAGAAUGGGUGCACUUGACUUUGACCAAUAUAUGGAAGGCACUUCAGAAGAAAAGCUGAAAGAGAUAUGUUGCUAUUACUAUAAAACAAGACAGACAAGUUUGGCUGGUGAAGAGAGAGAGUGUGGAAUUUUAAGAUCUACAUAUGAAAAGGUGACUGAGUAGAUUUCAAGUACAAAAAAGAAUAAUUGGAUCACGCUGUACCUGUUGACAAGUAAGAAUGGGAAAGAUGCAGGAGAUAAUAGAUGAGCCACAGCAUGCUCUCCUGGUAUUAUCCAAAAAUGUACAGGGAUGCACUGAAGGACUUCUAGGUAGAAAAUGACAGAAAACAAAAGACAAUAUUGGCUGUAGAGAGGAUGCUUUACCUGUUCAAAAAUCUAGACUAGAAUGCGAUAGUUUCAAAAGAAAUUGAAAGGAGGAAUGAGGAAAAAUAAAUAAAUAUAGAUUUGAAUAAAUUUUGUUGCUAUUGAAAGUGAAGAAUGAGAAGGAAAGACCACUUAACAAUGGUCUGCAGGCUUCUGAUGGUACUGAAGGGCUAACUAGUAAACGAGGAGUCUCACGUCUGGGAGUGAGGCUGCUGGGGUUGAACAGGCUGUGUCCAGGAUUCAGGUAGGCAGACUAAGACACAUGCACACACUAGAGGAGAGAUGAGGGCUGAAGAGCAGCAAUGAGAAAAGGGGUUGGGUGGAUGAUGGAAGGUACAAAUUAAGAUAUAGGGAAACAUGCAUCCAUUUCUUUUUUAGUUAGAAUUUUGGGGAGCACGUGAUUUUAAGGGCAAGAAAGAAAGAAAAAAUGAUUGUAAAAUGAAAUUCUACAGAGGAAGCAGAAACAACAGGGUGGAAGUAAAAAUCACAAUUGCCAAGGAGAGAGUCUCAAGGAACAAGUGGACAGAAAGAAUAAGUAGAAGAAUUACAUUGUUUCAGACAAAUUUAUACCUGAGUGGUUAUUUUCUUCUGUAUAGUUUUAGUGGUGCUCCAGAGCUGAGCAGUACUCCAAAGUGUUUACUAGGGAUAGAGGAAGUCUCUGAACUAAAACAAACCCCUGCAGCCUUUGGUUAUUUCUGAUAUAGACCUAUUACUCUCCAGUGCUUGCAACAUCAUUCCCUCACAAUUAAUGAUCCAGGGCAUGUAAAAAAUCUGAUAUUCCUCAGCGUGCUUCUGAAUUCUUCUCCUGUGCUUUCAUGAUUUAUGCAAUGUUUGUGUUGGCUAGUAAUCUCCUGCUGGCUCUUGAAGGAAACCAUGUUAAAUUAGGUUAAUAAUAGGAAGUAAUUUAUUAGCUUGCUAACCUGAAAAGUAGAACAUGCUUCCGGCAUGUGUAGAAUCAGAGAUACAAAUGAUAUGAUUAGGAUUCUAACUAAUCCCCUAAAGUGACAAAAUCACAAAGCAUGUGAGGACCAAGUCCAAAGAUUUGCAGACAAGAGUUCAGUCAGUUGCUGUAUGCUGCUAUAUAAAGGAUCUUCUUCCUUGAAGCUAAGUAUGGAAGAGUUUAAAGUGACAAAAUAUUUGUCAAUUACAGAUAUUAGGUCUAUCUUUUAAGACAUCUCAUUUUUAGGUGCUAAUUUAUUAGUUAAAAAAAACUACACUGAUUAACUUAAGCAAAAAUGUAAGUGCACACAUGUGUGUGUGCACACACACACAAAUAAAACCUAAAAAUAUAAAAUGAGAACUGGGGUUGUGGCUCAAUGGUAGAAUGCUCGAUUUGCAUGUGCGAGGCCCUGGGUUUGAUCCUCAGCACCAUAAUAUAUAUAUAUAUAUAUAUAUAUAUAUAUAUAUAUAUAUAUAUAUAUGUAAAAUAAACGUAUUGUGUCCAACUGU